UUAAAAUUGUUGCAGUUAAAACGCUCGUAGUUGAAUUUCAAAGAAUCGAUAUUUUAAGUAACGCUUCUAGCUAAUAAAUCCACAUAACUGAUGCCUCCGCGUAUCGACUUUGUGCGCAUUUUAGCUAUUAUGUGUUCUUUUAAUUAAAAUGAUUCUUUUUAAGAUUCAUCUAUUAAAAAUUUGCUUCGGCAUAAUUUUUUUUGAUGAUCUUGUUACUUUGAGUAAAUUAGAGUAUUCAAAGCAAACAGAUAUAGCAUUUGUGCGUUUGAAUACUACAGCAUGGAAUAACAAAAUUGAACAAGUCAGAAUUUUUUUGUUCUUUUUUCUUAUUUUGGCUUAGUUACGAUUAAUAGGAGUAGCUUGGGGACAUUUGUAUUCAGAUGUCAGAGGUGAAAUUCUAAGAUUUUCUGGAGACAAACAACUGCGAAGGCAUUUGUCUAAAAUACUUCCAUUAAUCAAGAACGAAAGUUAAGGGAGUGAAGACGAUCAGAUACCGUCGUAAUCUUAACCAUAAACUAUACCGACUAGGUUUUGGAUGAAAGUAAAACAAAUAAGGAUAGUCUCUUCGGGGAUAGUUCUUAGAUUUCUUCCUUCAGUACCUUAUGAGAAAUCAAAGUCUUUGGGUUCUGGGGCGAGUAUUCGCGCAAGCGAGAAAGUUAAAAGAAUUGACGGAAGGGCACCACCAGGCGUGGAGCUUGCGGCUUAAUUUGACUCAACACGGGAAAACUCACUAGUUUAAGACAAGAGUAGGAUUGACAGACUAAUAGCUCUUUCUUGAUUUCUUGGAUGGUGAUGCAUGGCCGUUUUUAGUUCGUGAAUAUGAUUUGUCUGGUUAAUUCCGAUAACGAACGAGAUCUUAACCUGCUAAUUAGCAGUAAGUACAACAUAUUUCUAUGCUGAAUUUGUAUUUGGAUAAUUUAAAAGGUUUUUUUGCCGUGCAUAUAAUGAGUACGGAAAAAAUGCAUACUGCUACCUUGUACCUAAUAAUACUUGGCGCCUAUGCAUAUUUCCAACCCUCUAUUCCCUGUACCGCAUAAAACUGGAUUAUGAUGCCAUUUCACUUUUAUGUAGAAAUGUAUUUGCUUUUACAUAAAGCUUCUUAGAGGAACGAUGUGUGUCUAACACAAGGAAGUUUAAGGCAACAACAGG
rnacentral:rRNA from 1 species